rnacentral:rRNA from 1 species
GUGGGGAAUCUUCCGCAAUGGACGAAAGUCUGACGGAGCAACGCCGCGUGAGUGAUGACGGCCUUCGGGUUGUAAAGCUCUGUGAUCGGGGACGAAUGGCUGGUAUGCUAAUACCAUAUCAGAGUGACGGUACCCGAAUAGCAAGCCACGGCUAACUACGUGCCAGCAGCCGCGGUAAUACGUAGGUGGCAAGCGUUGUCCGGAAUUAUUGGGCGUAAAGCGCGCGCAGGCGGCUUCUUAAGUCCAUCUUAAAAGUGCGGGGCUUAACCCCGUGAUGGGAUGGAAACUGGGAGGCUGGAGUAUCGGAGAGGAAAGUGGAAUUCCUAGUGUAGCGGUGAAAUGCGUAGAGAUUAGGAAGAACACCGGUGGCGAAGGCGACUUUCUGGACGACAACUGACGCUGAGGCGCGAAAGCGUGGGGAGCAAACAGGAUUAGAUACCCGUGUAGUCC